rnacentral:rRNA from 1 species
UACGUAGGGGGCAAGCGUUAUCCGGAAUAACUGGGCGUAAAGGAUGCGUAGGCGGUUAAACAAGUUAUAUGUUAAAUAUAUAGGCUUAACCUGUAGAAAGCAUAUAAAACUGUUUAACUAGAGUGCAGGAGAGGUAAGUGGAAUUCCUAGUGUAGCGGUGAAAUGCGUAGAGAUUAGGAAGAACACCAGUGGCGAAGGCGACUUACUGGACUGUAACUGACGCUGAGGCAUGAGAGCAUGGGGAGCAAACAGG